UCUUCCUUAGUGUAGUGGUGAUCAUUUCCGCUUGUCACGCGGGAGACCGUAAGCAAUUUCUACUUCUCACCUCAUAACGAGACUAACUGGUUUAGGGGGUUCGAUUCCCCGAGGGAGAG
rnacentral:tRNA from 1 species